rnacentral:rRNA from 1 species
CGCGGCCUAUCAGCUUGUUGGUGAGGUAGUGGCUCACCAAGGCGACGACGGGUAGCCGGCCUGAGAGGGUGACCGGCCACACUGGGACUGAGACACGGCCCAGACUCCUACGGGAGGCAGCAGUGGGGAAUAUCGCACAAUGGGCGCAAGCCUGAUGCAGCGACGCCGCGUGAGGGAUGACGGCCUUCGGGUUGUAAACCUCUUUCAGUAGGGAAGAAGCGAAAGUGACGGUACCUGCAGAAGAAGCGCCGGCUAACUACGUGCCAGCAGCCGCGGUAAUACGUAGGGCGCAAGCGUUAUCCGGAUUUAUUGGGCGUAAAGAGCUCGUAGGCGGCUUGUCGCGUCUGCCGUGAAAGUCCGGGGCUUAACCCCGGAUCUGCGGUGGGUACGGGCAGACUAGAGUGAUGUAGGGGAGACUGGAAUUCCUGGUGUAGCGGUGAAAUGCGCAGAUAUCAGGAGGAACACCGAUGGCGAAGGCAGGUCUCUGGGCAUUAACUGACGCUGAGGAGCGAAAGCAUGGGGAGCGAACAGGAUUAGAUACCCUGGUAGUCCAUGCCGUAAACGUUGGGCACUAGGUGUGGGGAACAUUCCACGUUUUCCGCGCCGUAGCUAACGCAUUAAGUGCCCCGCCUGGGGAGUACGG